rnacentral:rRNA from 1 species
AGAAGGAGAAGUCGUAACAAGGUUUCCGUAGGUGAACCUGCGGAAGGAUCAUUAACACUGAUGUCGGCCUCGGCCGACGCACCCCCAAACAACUUGUGAAUUUCAUGACCGUUUGUCAUUUUUAACAAUCAAAAAUACAAACCUAACGAAAAACAAUAACCAAUAUACAACUCUUAGCAAUGGAUAUCUUGGUUCCCACAACGAUGAAGAACGCAGCGAAAUGCGAUACGUAAUGCGAAUUGCAGAAUUCAGUGAAUCAUCAAAUCUUUGAACGCAAGUUGCGCUUUCGAGAUAUCCUUGAAAGCAUGCCUCUUUGAGUAUCGGUUUCCAUGUUUGCAAUUCGUUUACGAAACUGCAAGUGAAUGAGUUUGCCAGAGUCAAAUCUGUCUGCCUCGAAAUGCAAUCGGCCGCAAGUCAAACUGCACUCGUACUUUUCGACACACAAGUCGAGCGCGGGCGGCCAACAAACCUUUACCAAUCAAGAUCUCAAAUGAGGUAAGACUACCCGCUGAACUUAAGCAUAU